UCUGCAUUUGCUUGUUCUUUAUACUUUUGAAGUUUUGUAAAAUGUUGUUCAACUAGUCUAAGGAUUGCGUAUUCACUUUAGCUAGAAUGUGAGCUGAAAGCACUGGUUGCCCAUUUUAUAUUAUUGCUCUUGUGGAGACUGGGAAGUAUAGGAAGGACACUGGGAUUUUGAAAUGACUUGUCAGACAGGACCUUGAGGUGAUAUGGGACACCCAGAUAUUUUUUUAUUGCAAGGAAGGUGUUGACAACAGGUUAAGUUACCCCUCGCUGAAUGUGAUCACCUAAAAAUGUGGACUGGGGUAGGAGGUGACUGCACUAUGUUGAUUUCCUAUUUACUUUCCUCCAAAACGCUUCUUUCUGGGUGUAACACUUGUUCUUGCGAUGAGCUUUAAUUAACAAUAGUACUUAAUAUGUAGUGUGCACAAGCUCAGAUAUUUAUAUAAACAGAUUUUAAGAUAUAUGUGUCACGGACCAGUCCGUGUUUUUCUGAUUAUUUUAACCCCUUCGCGACUAGUGCACUGCAAGUGUAGAUGGAAUGUAUGGGAGAAGGAAUGAGAACGUUAGAGGGGAAAGGGUUAACCGUGACACGAAGGUUUUGGUGAACCCGGUUCAGCAGUAGAUUUAUUGGGGGAACGGGGUAGAACAUUUACUCAGACCCCAGUUAGUGAAUGAAGAGCACGUGACUGAGUCACGAGAUGUAAAUGUCCCGAGUUAUGAUUACAUGGUAGACCAGGGGAAUGCGGCACUGUACUGACCCCUUGUGGAUUGACCUCGCCCAGACCAGGUAUGACAUCUUUAUCUGUUAUUGCUUUUGGAAUUGUAAUAGAACUCAUGUAGGUUUUAAACUAGUAAACACGAACAUGUAAGAGAAAGAUGUGUGAAUUGUCGAAUAUUGUUUAGAAUGGUAGUUUGUGUAACUUGAGUUACAGAUUUUUAUUGUUUUGUUCUGAUUGAACUGGGGCUCUUCUGGAUGAGGAAGAAUCGCCUGCCAGGACCAUUCCUUCUGUCCAACACCCAGAAGCACUUGGGUUUAAUGUACGAGAUCGACCAACGGGCCUAUGGGCAGCCACAGGAAGAGUUGUCUGGCUGGGACUAAGCAAGGUCAGGCUGUCACGUGAUAUUGCCGCUGCUGUUUUAGGUCAAAGGAAAGUGCUUCCACCUUGAGGCGAUUUCACACUAAAGAGAGGAACAGGGAGGAAAUCAGAGGACCCGGAGAAAUCUCCCGACGCCAGUCACGCUGACAGGUGACACAUACAGAGCGUGUCACGAGACGGAAUCUGAACCCUUGACAAGCGAGUGUUUGAACCCCUACACGACUGGACCAACGACAAACGGUCUUCUAAUGGGAGUGACAAUAGAUAACGAAAAUAUCAGGAACAGUGUUAACAAUCUUCAAACAAAACAAAUCUUGCGAAAUUCACAAACAGAGGACUUUAUGAAACACCCUUCAAGAUAUUUCACGAGCCUCAUCCCCCGGACUAUGUUUUGUGAUAUUUGUGCUUUAUUUCCAGCGAUUGUCGCUCAGUGUGGUGUUGGCCUUUAAGACCUCAAUCUUAUAUGAGAAGCGUGUUAUGAAGACAAUGUGUUCUGAGUGCACACGUGUGUUCUGUUUGAGAACGUUUGUUUCGGUUGUCACGUGGUGCUACUGGUUGAACACUACACCUGCUGGCAACACGUUUGUGGAAAGUCAUCAAUGACACAGAGAAUAUUUGUGGACUUUCUGUAUACUUUAAUAUUAAACGCUCUUUGCUCUCUGACAGUGGCCUGCGCCGUGUAGUAUACAGAAGUCAUUUGUAAAUUGCAUAACAGGAGUUGAUCAACAAUAUAGUGUAUGGAUAUAUAAGCCAGGUGUGUGUAUACAGUGUACCUUUAGUUAAUGACUAUGUUAGUAUAGCCUUAAGUUAUACAAGUAUCUCUGAAAUAGGAGUGUAGCAGUACAACUGAUACACAUGUACAGUAGUGAGAAUAUUGUCUCACCUUUCUAGAGGAGUUAUGUUUCCCUCCCUAUGAUUACAGCCAGAGCGGUACGGUGGUAGAUUUUUGACGAAUAUCACAAUGUUAACAAAAGCCAUACUUUUGCGGAUUACUUUGUUUUGUUUACAACCCUAUGUAAAAUACUUUCUUUCAUCCGCAUCAAGGUUUACUUGUCACACUUUCUAAAGUUUAGUGAUGCUUUGACACUGAUUGCGGCAUUGAUGUAUUCCAAUAACAGACUACGCUCUCCACCACUAAACUAUAAAGACUUUAGCAUUGAGAUGUAGUUAAACUAUAAAGACUUUAGCAUUGAUAUGUAGUUAAACUAUAAAGACUUUAGCAUUGAUAUGUAGUUAAACUAUAAAGACUUUAGCAUUGAUAUGUAGUUAAACUAUAAAGACUUUAGCAUUGAGAUGUAGUUAAACUAUAAAGACUUUAGCAUUGAUAUGUAGUUAAACUAUAAAGACUUUAGCAUUGAGAUGUAGCUAAACUAUAAAGACUUUAGCAUUGAUAUGUAGUUAAACUAUAAAGACUUUAGCAUUGAGAUGUAGUUAAACUAUAAAGACUUUAGCAUUGAUAUGUAGUUAAACUAUAAAGACUUUAGCAUUGAGAUGUAGUUAAACUAUAAAGACUUUAGCAUUGAUAUGUAGUUAAACUAUAAAGACUUUAGCAUUGAGAUGUAGCUAAACUAUAAAGACUUUAGCAUUGAGAUGUAGUUAAACUAUAAAGACUUUAGCAUUGAUAUGUAGUUAAACUAUAAAGACUUUAGCAUUGAGAUGUAGUUAAACUAUAAAGACUUUAGCAUUGAUAUGUAGCUAAACUAUAAAGACUUUAGCAUUGAGAUGUAGUUAAACUAUAAAGACUUUAGCAUUGAUAUGUAGUUAAACUAUAAAGACUUUAGCAUUGAGAUGUAGUUAAACUAUACAGAUGUUAUCAUGGAGCCCUAGCUAAACUAUACAGAUGUUAUCAUGGAGCCCUAGCUAAACUAUACAGAUGUUAUCAUGGAGCCCUAGCUAAACAAUACAGAUGUUAUCAUGGAGCCCUAGC